rnacentral:rRNA from 1 species
GCAGCAGUGGGGAAUAUUGCACAAUGGCGAAAGCCUGAUGCAGCGACGCCGCNUGAGGGGUGACGGCNUUCGGGUUGUAAACCUCUUUCAGCAGGAAGAAGCGAAAGUGACGGUACCUGCAGAAGAAGCGCCGGCUAANUACGUGCCAGCAGCCGCGGUAAUACGUAGGGCGCAAGCGUUGUCCGGAAUUAUUGGGCGUAAAGAGCUCGUAGGCGGCUUGUCACGUCGAUUGUGAAAGCCCGAGGCUUAACCUCGGGUCUGCAGUCGAUACGGGCUAGCUAGAGUGUGGUAGGGGAGAUCGGAACUCCUGGUGUAGCGGUGAAAUGCGCAGAUAUCAGGAGGAACACCGGUGGCGAAGGCGGAUCUCUGGGCCAUUACUGACGCUGAGGAGCGAAAGCGUGGGGAGCGAACAGGAUUAGAUACCCUGGUAGUCCACGCCGUAAACGGUGGGAACUAGGUGUUGGCGACAUUCCACGUCGUCGGUGCCGCAGCUAACGCAUUAAGUUCCCCGCCUGGGGAGUACGGCCGCAAGGCUAAAACUCAAAGGAAUUGACGGGGGCCCGCACAAGCGGCGGAGCAUGUGGCUUAAUUCGACGCAACGCGAAGAACCUUACCAAGGCUUGACGUACACCGGAAACGUCCAGAGAUGGGCGCCCCCUUGUGGUCGGUGUACAGGUGGUGCAUGGCUGUCGUCGGCUCGUGUCGUGAGAUGUUGGGUUAAGUCCCGCAACGAGCGCAACCCUUGUCCCGUGUUGCCAGCAGGCCCUUGUGGUGCUGGGGACUCACGGGAGACCGCCGGGGUCAACUCGGAGGAAGGUGGGGACGACGCCAAGUCAUCAUGCCCCUUAUGUCUUGGGCUGCACAC